rnacentral:rRNA from 1 species
UACGUAGGAGGCAAGCGUUGUCCGGAAUCACUGGGCGUAAAGAGCUUGUAGGCGGUUUGUCGCGUCUGCCGUGAAAAUUCGAGGCUCAACCUCGAACUUGCGGUGGGUACGGGCAGACUAGAGUGUGGUAGGGGAGACUGGAAUUCCUGGUGUAGCGGUGAAAUGCGCAGAUAUCAGGAGGAACACCGAUGGCGAAGGCAGGUCUCUGGGCCACUACUGACGCUGAGAAGCGAAAGCAUGGGGAGCGAACAGG